rnacentral:rRNA from 1 species
GACAAUUUGACCUCAAAUCAGGUAGGACUACCCGCUGAACUUAAGCAUAUC